AAUGAACGUUGGCGGCGUGGAUUAGGCAUGCAAGUCGCGCGAUAAGAGUAGCAAUACUUGGACAGCGGCGAAAGGGAGAGUAAUACAUAGGUACGUACCCUUGGGACUGGGAUAGCGGCGGGAACUGCCGGUAAUACCAGAUGACGUUUCCGAACCAAAGGUGUGAAUCCGCCUGAGGAGCGGCCUAUGUCCUAUUAGCUUGUUGGU
rnacentral:rRNA from 1 species